rnacentral:rRNA from 1 species
UGGGGAAUAUUGCACAAUGGAGGGAACUCAGAUGCAGCGACGCCGCGUGAACGAAGAAGGCUUUCGAGUCGUAAAGUUCUUUUAUAUGGGAAGAUAAUGACGGUACCAUAAGAAAAAGCCCCGGCUAACUACGUGCCAGCAGCCGCGGUAAUACGUAGGGGGCUAGCGUUGUCCGGAAUCACUGGGCGUAAAGGGUUCGCAGGCGGAAAUGCAAGUCAGGUGUAAAAGGCAGUAGCUUAACUACUGUAAGCAUUUGAAACUGCAUAUCUUGAGAAGAGUAGAGGUAAGUGGAAUUUUUAGUGUAGCGGUGAAAUGCGUAGAUAUUAAAAAGAAUACCGGUGGCGAAGGCGACUUACUGGGCUCAUUCUGACGCUGAGGAACGAAAGCGUGGGUAGCAAACAGG